GACGAACGCUGGCGGCGUGCCUAAUACAUGCAAGUCGAGCGCAGGAAACUGACGGAACUCUUCGGAGGGAAGGCAGUGGAAUGAGCGGCGGACGGGUGAGUAACACGUAAGGAACCUGCCUCAAGGAUUGGGAUAACUCCGAGAAAUCGGAGCUAAUACCGGAUAGCUCAUCGGACCGCAUGGUCCGCUGAUGAAAGGCGCUUCGGCGUCACCUUGAGAUGGCCUUGCGGUGCAUUAGCUAGUUGGUGGGGUAACGGCCCACCAAGGCGACGAUGCAUAGCCGACCUGAGAGGGUGAUCGGCCACACUGGGACUGAGACACGGCCCAGACUCCUACGGGAGGCAGCAGUAGGGAAUCUUCCACAAUGGACGAAAGUCUGAUGGAGCAACGCCGCGUGAGUGAUGAAGGUUUUCGGAUCGUAAAACUCUGUUGUAAGGGAAGAACACGUACGAGAGGAAAUGCUCGUACCUUGACGGUACCUUACGAGAAAGCCACGGCCAACUACGUGCCAGCAGCCGCCGUAACAC
rnacentral:rRNA from 1 species